AUCUGGGCGGCGGAAUUCAGGAUGACCGGCGGGCUUUGCGCUAGUCCGGUCGUUUGAUGUUUCCGUCGCCGUAUGGACGUCGCGACCUGUUUGUCGUCGGUCCUUGCUCGGAGGAACCGCAAUCGAGUUCAUUGCAUGGUGCGUUUCGGCGUGCCGAGCGGUGAAGAUGCGGCUCUCUGGCUGACGGUGGACAGUAAGCAACGGUGUCCGGCGUGGUGUCUCGCACUCUACGCCGACGCCGGUCUGCGACGAUUUCUUCGGGCCUCUUUCCGACCCGUCUUGAAACACGGACCAAGGAGUCUAACAUGCGCGCGAGUCGCGGGGUUUCGAGCGUACCAUGGUGCGCUCGUUACAUGCGAAACCCGUACGUUGAAGGCGUAAUGAAAGUGAACAGGGAAGAUGGCGUUCCGAGUCCACGUACCGUGAUCGAGUGUCGCGGCCGGACGUCCGCACUCCCGGGGCGUCUCAAUGGCUCGUCGCGGAUGCGGAUGGUCGUCUCUCGGGGCGGCCAUCGGUCUGCGAUGGACCGA
rnacentral:rRNA from 1 species